rnacentral:misc_RNA from 1 species
ACCACACUGGAGAUUUUAAUCAGGUUUGUCUUUGCCCUUUAUUAUGUUUGUAUAUUUUGAAGAGCAGAAAUUAUGAUGAUAUAUCUAACAAUGACUCAAAUUUUGCUAAUUUUCUAAUCCAUUGAAGAAGAAUAUCUUGUUGCUGGGAUGUUUGUUCAUAGCAAGGAUAUUUAUUGCUGAUUUGCAUAAAAAUGGAUUCAGGAUGAUAGUCAAAUAACUAAUGAAGAGCAGAAAUUAGAAGGAAUGGGGAAAGCUUAUUGCAGAUGGUUGGAUAUUGCAGUUGCCUGAUCACUGAUGCCUGGCUUCAUUUAAACCUGCUGAGUUUGGCUUCAGAAGAUGUGGGAGCAACUGUGACUUAUAAUAUAAAUAAAUCAUUGUUUAAUGUAAAAGGAUUAGAUUGUCAUUCUACUCAUGACAAUUUGCUAGCAUAUUUUGAGUUGUGUUAAUCUUAGGCACAUCAUGUAUGUCUUGAUAAGGUGAACCACUAUAAAAUACAUCAGCCAUAUUACUAACAUAACCACCUAAAAAAUAACAGCUCUGCUUUCAUUGGGAUGAGAAAUUUUUUUUUUCAGAAUUCUAAGUUCCUUUAUGUUGUAUUCUAAUAUCAAUACUUGUAUGCAUUACCAUAUUUUUCCUAUAGCUACUUUUUACUUUUGUGGUGAACAGUGAACUGUAAUCAGAUAGGGGAGAAAAUCCUCCCAUUGUGUUUUAGUCUCCUUUAGCAAUCUUAAGGCCAAUUGCUUUACUAUCCUUUGAAUUAAUUACAUGCCACAACUUUAUGCAUAUUGUCUACUUUAUCUAUUUAUGUAUGGCUAUAUGCUUUGCCUGAGUUUACUUUCCUUUCGCAAUUAGACAACCAAUUUCUUUACUGUCCUUAAGAAUUAAUUACCCGCCACAACUUUAUGCAUGUUGUAUACUUUAUCUAUGUGUAUAUGUUUCCCCUUAGUGCAGCAUGUUUCUUCCUCUUCUUCUUUUAAAUAAGAUACUUGAAGAUUUCUUGCUUUUUUUCCUCUUUAUAUUAAAGUUAAAAUAAAAAAAAAUUUUAAGUGCAAUCAAGGACAAGAAGCAGUUUUCACGUGAGGUAUAAGUUUAUAAAUCAAAGGCAACUUCUUACAAAUAGAGAUUAAAUUUACUUAAUUUGAAGUAUUACAUUAAAAGAUUCAAAAGUGUCAGCCAGAUAUUGUCAUGUUUUAUAUUUGACAUGAAUUAUUAAAAGUUGUUUCUCAGUACACUAACUUCAUUCACUUUAUGUAGGCAACCAUUUAUCAGCAAAAAG